GCCACGUGAUGUGACGUCACUCUGAGGCCAUUCCUUUCGAGUUCGCCAAGGUGGUCGGAAGCAAAAUCUCGAUUUUCUUCAAAAUUUCGCACAGAAUUGCAGAUAUUCUGCUUUGGCCGCACAACUUUCCUUUAUCCAUGAUACGAGAUGAUGGCCGAGGUGUCCAUGGUGGUAUAAGAGAUGACAGUCGGUGGUCCAUGAUGCUAGGAGGUGAAAGGUUCUGUCCAGAAAUCCCUCGGUGAUCUCAAUCCUAGCUAGGUGAUGGACAAUGAUCAGCAGUCUGACCAACCAUGUUCAAUACAAGGCCACAAUUCCAUAGUUGCACGAGAUGACAGCCGGUGGUGGUGGUCCAUGAUGCUAGGAGGUGAAAGGUUCUGUCCAGAAAUCCCAGGUGGAAUUGCGUGCACACCAUGUGCCAAUGACGUCAUCAAAUCACGUGGUCUAUAUACGAGGACGACGUAUCGGCAAAGGAGGGAACGUUAAUGGCAUAUUUACUCGUCAAACAACACGUUAACAGUUUAAGGCAAGACCAAUUAUUUGUAAAACUGAAUGUCGAACGCUAGUUACACUUGUCAAAGUUUCAGCUGAAAUUAGUUCAAAUUGAGUUUGUCCUUUUCAAAGUAUAUAUGCUUAGAAAACUGGUUGGUCAAUAACUAGAUUAGUGGGGGAGAGCGUCUUAUUGAUUUACAAAAUUCAUGCAGGAACAAAAGCAGAACUGUGUUUUAUUUGACACUUUGUUCUAAAUUUACAAGUUUGUAAAAUCAGAAACAUGACAAGUGUAACUAGAUACUAGAGAGGUUUCGCAUUGCUGUGAUUAACAUUUCAGUUCACGUUUCAAAAUUACGAUCUGAAAGAACAGUUGUCUGGUGUAAGUCAAAGACAUGGCAUGUUCGCCCCAUCUUUUUUGAGAAAUCACAAGAUCAUGCACGUGCGUCACAGACGCUUUGAAUACGUUAACGUAAGGAUUGCGAAACCUCUCUUGUUGCCCUGUUGCCCAAUGCUUUCGCGUAAGAAAAGUAAAAAAAAACGGUUCAAGCUGGAUUCGAACCAACGAUCUCCUGCACUAGAAUCCAACUCUCUUACCACUACUCCACAAAUCCACCCGCUGGUGAGGGCUGGCAGUGUGAGAGUGAAUGAAAACAUGUGCUCCGACCUUCGUCAUUAAGUUAUGUCACGAUCAUUCAAUUGAAUAUACAAGUCCGGGACUCUUUGUCCAAAUUGUGUGGAUUUCACGUCACUGCCACAGAGCCUUUGAUGGGGCUAUUGUGGUCCCUUAAUCUGUAUAUUCCAUUGAAUGAGACAAUAGGGCCUACUGUUGCUGGUCCAACUGUUCAAUAACGUUUCCGUGUACUGUGUUUGCUGGGGGCUUGUGAUAUAUCACUACAAGUACAGGGUGUUAAUCAAAACAAGUUACAGUCUUGCGGCCUAAUAGCCGUUGUUCUAAAUGACUUGGCCAAUUUGAUUUGUGCCAUCAACAAAUAGAAUCUCUCAGAAUUUGUUGCGUACUUACUAAAGUGUAAUCAAUCCAGUUCAUGUACGUGUACUUCUUACACCAGUGGCAUUCAAAAUGUUUUAAUUAACACCCUGUAAACUUGAUGAACAUAUCACAUAUAAGUUCCAAUUCAAAGUUCCGUUGUGAUCAAAAGUAGAAAUUAGUUUAACAACAACAUCUUUAAACUGCUGCAGAAUAUAGUUGUUUCUUAAGAAUAUCAGUUAAGAAAAACAAAGCCCCUAUAUAACUAAAACUAAAAGCCAGUAACACGUUUUCACCCAUUCUGAAUUCCAAAAACAAAAUUGAACUCUUCCCAAAAGGCUGAUUGGUUCAUUUCCAAUGAGCACGCGGAAAGUGCAAUUCGCCACAUGUCAUAAUUGUUCAUUUCUUUUAAAAAGCAUAAACAAUAACCUGCUCAGUGUCAGGAGCGUUUCGGCCAGCUGUAUGUUGCUUUGAUUUCAAGUGUCCAUUUACCCUGAUCAGUAAUAUCAACGUCACCAUUUUUGUUGGCGGGCAUUUUGGUAGCUAAAGGUAGCGCUGGAUCGAUUUCGGCGGCUGCUGUAUCUUAAGCUUCACAAGGUGAUCCCUCAUUAUCUGCAUGGCUGGUUGGUGGCGGCUGUGGUCGCUUUGGUACGAAUUGGUUAAAGAAGAUAUCGUGACUCCCCAAUCUGCUCUGCGAUCCUUAGGGUAAGCCAUUAAAGCAACACGAACAUUCGAAAUGUUUGAAAGAAAUUAUCAGGGCAUUAUGAUAUCAUUAUCAAUCGCCCUUUUUUCAUGCUACCAAUCCAGUUAAAUGAAAUGUAUGGAAAUCCAUCCCCUUCCACACUGUUCAAGAUAUUCAAAGAAACAAUUAACUGACGGCAAUAAUUUGUACAACAGGUUAAGAUUUAGGCCUCAAUUACCGGUAUACUUGAUUCAGACUGUGUAAAAAUACUUUAAUCUCACUUCUAUAAGACCAUCUUAUGAAAUUUAUCGAAGGAAUGAUGCGGCUGCGAGAUAUCAUUUGAUUUCCGCAGCUGCAGCGUAAACUGUAAGAUUUUCACAAGUACUAAAGCUGUCUUAUCACUUUCUAUUUACAACUUAGGUUGGGGUUGUGUUGAAAUUCACGAAAAUGGUCUUAUACAUGUGAGUUUACAGUAUUUCGCCUUCUUUGGUGUACUGUGAAUAUGAUUGGUAGUUUUUUUGAAUAAAAAUUGUGU